rnacentral:rRNA from 1 species
AGAUUGAACGCUGGCGGCAGGCCUAACACAUGCAAGUCGAGCGGUAGGGAGGUGCUUGCAUCUCUUGAGAGCGGCGGACGGGUGAGUAAUGCCUAGGAAUCUGCCUAGUGGUGGGGGAUAACGUUCGGAAACGGACGCUAAUACCGCAUACGUCCUACGGGAGAAAGCGGGGGACCUUCGGGCCUCGCGCCAUUAGAUGAGCCUAGGGUCGGAUUAGCUAGUUGGUGAGGUAAUGGCUCACCAAGGCGACGAUCCGUAACUGGUCUGAGAGGAUGAUCAGUCACACCGGAACUGAGACACGGUCCGACUCCUACGGGAGGCAGCAGUGGGGAAUAUUGGACAAGUGGGACGCAAGGCCUGGAUCCAGCAAUCGCGCGUGUGUGAAGAACGGCCUUCGGUUAGUAACGACAGUUAACGUAGGAAAG